UCAGCCCUUCAGGUAGUCCCUCCCUGUUUCAGCCCUUCAGGUAGUCCCUCCCUGUUUCAGCCCUUCAGGUAGUCCCUCCCUGUUUCAGCCCUUCAGGUAGUCCCUCCCUGUUUCAGCCCUUCAGGUAGUCCCUCCCUGUUUCAGCCCUUCAGGCAGUCCCUCCCUGUUUCAGCCCUUCAGUUAGUCCCUCCCUGUUUCAGCCCUUCAGUUAGUCCCUCCCUGUUUCAGCCCUUCAGUUAGUCCCUCCCUGUUUCAGCCCUUCAGUUAGUCCCUCCCUGUUUCAGCCCUUCAGUUAGUCCCUCCCUGUUUCAGCCCUUCAGUUAGUCCCUCCCUGUUUCAGCCCUUCAGUUAGUCCCUCCCUGUUUCAGCUCUUCAGGUAGUCCCUGUUUCAGCCCUUCAGGUAGUCUCUGUUUCAGCCCUUCAGGUAGUCUCUGUUUCAGCCCUUCAGGUAGUCCCUCCCUGUUUCAGCCCUUCAGGUAGUCCCUCCCUGUUUCAGCCCUUCAAGUAGUCCCUGUUUCAGCCCUUCAAGUAGUCCCUGUUUCAGCCCUUCAGUUAGUCCCUCCCUGUUUCAGCCCUUCAGGUAGUCCCUGUUUCAGCCAUUCAGGUAGUCCCUGUUUCAACCCUUCAGUUAGUCCCUCCCUGUUUCAGCCCUUCAGGUAGUCCCUGUUUCAGCCCUUCAGUUAGUCCCUCCCUGUUUCAGCCCUUCAGUUAGUACCUCCCUGUUUCAGCCCUUCAGUUAGUCCCUCCCUGUUUCAGCCCUUCAGGUAGUCCCUGUUUCAGCCCUUCAGGUAGUCUCUGUUUCAGCCCUUCAGGUAGUCCCUGUUUCAGCCCUUCAGGUAGUCCCUGUUUCAGCCCUUCAGGUAGUCUCUGUUUCAGCCCUUCAGGUAGUCCCUCCCUGUUUCAGCCCUUCAGGCAGUCCCUCCCUGUUUCAGCCCUUCAGGCAGUCCCUCCCUGUUUCAGCCCUUCAGUCAGUCCCUCCCUGUUUCAGCCCUUCAGGUAGUCCCCCUCUGUUUCAGCCCUUCAGGUAGUCCCUGUUUCAGCCCUUCAGGUAGUCCCUGUUUCAGCCCUUCAGGUAGUCCCUGUUUCAGCCCUUCAGGUAGUCCCUGUUUCAGCCCUUCAGGUAGUCCCUCCCUGUUUCAGCCCUUCAGGUAGUCCCUCCCUGUUUCAGCCCUUCAGGUAGUCCCUCCCUGUUUCAGCCCUUCAGGUAGUCCCUCCCUGUUUCAGCCCUUCAGGUAGUCCCUCCCUGUUUCAGCCCUUCAAGUAGUCCCUGUUUCAGCCCUUCAGUUAGUCCCUCCCUGUUUCAGCUCUUCAGGUAGUCCCUGUUUCAGCCCUUCAGGUAGUCCCUGUUUCAACCCUUCAGUUAGUCCCUCCCUGUUUCAGCCCUUCAGGUAGUCCCUGUUUCAGCCCUUCAGGUAGUCCCUGUUUCAGCCCUUCAGUUAGUCCCUCCCUGUUUCAGCCCUUCAGUUAGUCCCUCCCUGUUUCAGCCCUUCAGUUAGUACCUCCCUGUUUCAGCCCUUCAGUUAGUCCCUCCCUGUUUCAGCCCUUCAGGUAGUCCCUGUUUCAGCCCUUCAGGUAGUCUCUGUUUCAGCCCUUCAGGUAGUCCCUCCCUGUUUCAGCCCUUCAGGCAGUCCCUCCCUGUUUCAGCCCUUCAGGCAGUCCCUCCCUGUUUCAGCCCUUCAGUUAGUCCCUCCCUGUUUCAGCCCUUCAGUUAGUCCCUCCCUGUUUCAGCCCUUCAGUUAGUCCCUCCCUGUUUCAGCCCUUCAGUUAGUCCCUCCCUGUUUCAGCCCUUCAGUUAGUCCCUCCCUGUUUCAGCCCUUCAGUUAGUCCCUCCCUGUUUCAGCCCUUCAGUUAGUCCCUCCCUGUUUCAGCCCUUCAGUUAGUCCCUCCCUGUUUCAGCCCUUCAGGUAGUCCCUGUUUCAGCCCUUCAGGUAGUCCCUGUUUCAGCCCUUCAGGUAGUCCCUGUUUCAGCCCUUCAGUUAGUCCCUCCCUGUUUCAGCCCUUCAGGUAGUCCCUCCCUGUUUCAGCCCUUCAGGUAGUCCCUCCCUGUUUCAGCCCUUCAGGUAGUCCCUCCCUGUUUCAGCCCUUCAGUUAGUCCCUCCCUGUUUCAGCCCUUCAGGUAGUCCCCGUUUCAGCCCUUCAGGCAGUCCCUCUCUGUUUCAGACCAUUUUUUCUGUUUGGUACCUGGUGAAUAUGACUCAGGUGAGAUGAGGGGUGGACCUAUGAGGGAUGGAUAGCAGUAUUCUUUCAUCACUAAUUCCCAUACUGUACACUGAGCAGUACUACAUACCACUCCUGGGAUACCCCUCACGUGUACUGUUUACAUAUAUAUUGCACUGUUUAUGUUUUGAAAUCGUGGAUAUGAAUUACUUCAAUGGGAACCAGUCAUGUUUUUUGACAGUAUGAUGAAGAACUUUGUGACGCCGUUCGUAUUUUAACUAUAUGUCUUUUAUUAGAAAGUAUUCCACUGAGGAAAAUGUAAAUUUAAAAAUGUUUUGAAAUGUGUUGAAGAGUAAUGAUGAUAACAGGUGAAAGAGCUUUACCUAAUUGAGUGAUCUCCGCUUAGCUUUUUAGAUUCAUCAGAGCUGUUUUUGUCUUUAAUAUUUAAAUAAAUGUUAACUUAACAAUGUAUGAUUUUAUUACAGAAAAUAAAGACCGUUGUGAUGUC